AUACGGAGGGGGCAAGCGUUGUUCGGAAUUACUGGGCGUAAAGGGCGCGCAGGCGGUUUCGUUAGUCAGGCGUGAAAUCCCCGGGCUCAACCCGGGAACUGCGUUUGAUACUGCGGAACUAGAGAUCGGGAGAGGGUAGUGGAAUUCCCAGUGUAGAGGUGAAAUUCGUAGAUAUUGGGAAGAACACCAGUGGCGAAGGCGGCUACCUGGACCGAUACUGACGCUGAGGCGCGAAAGCGUGGGGAGCAAACAGGAUUAGAUACCCCGGUAGUCC
rnacentral:rRNA from 1 species